rfam:Triticum aestivum genome assembly, contig: Triticum_aestivum_CS42_TGACv1_scaffold_513608_6BS
AAAGUACUCCCUCCGUCCCAAAAUUCUUGUCUUAGAUUUGUCUAGAUACACAUUUUAGUAUUAGAUACAUCUGUAUCUAGACAAAUCUAAGACAAGAAAUCUGGGAUAGAGGGAGUAGUUG